GUGGGUCUAAGCCCUGGGAGAUGUGGCCUUUUGUGGAUGAAAGGACAGUGAGUGGCUGAAGCCCAAAGACCCCGGCUGGGGUGGGGAACCCCAGGAAGCCAAGGCGACAGGGUCCACAGACUUCGUUUUCUUUUCAUUUUGCGCUGGCUCAGUCCGCUACCCUGUAUCCCGGGUGGGUGGAGAGCGAGUUGUCCUCAGCUCUGUUUUCCCGUCCACGUAGACAGAGAACCAUAGUGUGGAGUUCCAGAAACUUGGGGCAGACCGACUCUUGGCAGAGCCGCAGAGCCUGGGACCCUGACACGGAAUGUCCGCCUCUGUGCCCGCUCCCUAAUGUCGUGUACCUGGGCCCAGUGCCCGGUGGGACUCGCUACCUUGGCCGCGCAGCAAAGCCAGCGGGUUAGCGCUGGAUCUCCCCGCUGCUGGGGGUCCCGGCACACACGCUGCCUGCCUUCGAGUGCACAGGCGUGAAGUAGAGAGGACCCGUCGGACCCACGUUCUGAGCCAGCGAACAGCCGGCGGGGGGCGGCGAGCAGCCGGUGCCGGGCCGCAGCCACGUCUCGGGCCGCCGCAGGCUCGUAGUUCUCCGGAAAACCCUGGGUUGGCCGCCGCAGCCGAGGGAUUCAGCUGUUUCCAGCCGGUGGUCGGCCUCCGAGAGACCGAGGAGGAAGGCAAGGAGGGCAGCAGGAGCGAUCUCCAUCAGAGGACGAACAGGCCGGUCGGGGCCCCGGGAGCACGGCCACGUUGCCAUCUGUCCUCGGUCCAGGGCUUCGUUCCACUGAAGGAUUGUAUUUAUCUUCCUCACCAGAGCGAUUCGCGGCGGAUCCCCCCUCCUUUUUUUUCCCCCCUUGAAUGAGUUACUUGUAUGGAACCUGUGCAAAAAAAAUAGUUAAUUUCGUUUCGUAUUAAAACCCUUUUAUGAAAUCCCUUCCCAAACACCAAUUUUACUCCCGAGGUGAAUUAUAUCCCCUCCCACCGAGACCGACAAAACCUCUCAUUAACUUGUGUCUAAAUUACAACAAAAUCUGCAUAUCUAUAUUUACUUGCCUGCAGCUAUUUGCCUUUAAAUAGGGCCAUUUAAGCUACGGGAGAGAGUUUUGCUAAAAUUGCUCAGAGGAAAACGUGUGAACACAACGUUCACAAAUAGGUAAAUUCAGACAACAUUUUCAUGGAUAAAUACACGCAGAGGUGCAUAAAUAUACUCCGGAAAAUACACUGGGCGCCUUUUCACACCGAGGCGGAAUUUUACUCAAAGCUGCCUUCCACGCUCUCUGCAUUCCACCUGAGCAAAACAUCUCCUCCGGCUGAGUCGCAGCAAAGAAGAAACAGGAUUGGAGGGUCGCGUCUACGCUAGCUCCAGGACCGAAAUCACUUCCAACUCCAAACGAGGUGGAUUUUAUUAGGCCUCCAGAGGCCGCAUUAGGGGUGGCGGUGGAGAAGUGAGUAGAUGCGACCUGCGGAAACUCUUUUCGAAUCUCGGUUCCCGCAGUAGCCCAGGAGAGCGAACGGGGCUCCAGCUCCGGGGUCCCUUACUCCUGCUGGCCUAAGCUUCAGGGCCGCCCUGGGUCUCGCGAGGGCGCGACCAGCCGAGGAUCUGCACCGCUGUGCCCCUCCCCCCCAGCCACCCCUACCCUGAGUCCCGGGCCGGAAGCCGCCCUGCGGGAGGAAAAAGGCCCGGAUCAAGCCCCCCAGUUCUCGGAGCGGCGCCGACUCCCCUCCUUCAACACGCAGCAACCUGCGCCCCCUCCUGCAGCUUUCCUCCGCCCCUUCAUUAAAGUUUUAUUCAAGGUUCUAAAUUCUGCACUUUACUUAGGUUUCCUUUGAGGAAGAAACGAAACCUUAGGUAGGUUUCCUGC
rnacentral:lncRNA from 1 species